UUCUUCCCAUAUCACAUGACAUGCUUCAGCUUUAUCAUGAACCUUACAGAUAGAUUAGAGGCUCGUAUGAAGCAAUCCCUGCUAUGUCAACAUUACAGUCUUCAAGAAACAGAACACAAGAGCUUUCCCCCUUUAUGAGGAUCAGUCUGCUUGCCUAUACAAAGAGAACUGCAAUCACUUGUUAAAAGGCUUCUUAGUUUUGAGCUGAAAAUGUAUCUCUAGCAAGUAUCAUUCAAACUCAUCACGCUAUGAUACUGAUCACAGCAUCCAACCAAUUCAGUGCUGUCCUGGUUUCAAUCCAGCCUUGCAAAAUGUGUUGCUGAAAGAACAGAAGCUAAAGGUCCAAGAGUGACACCUUCAGAGGUCCCCUGAAGCAGACUUCUAAGUUCCAGUCUACCACUUCCUUCUACAAAAAAGCCAAGAAAAUGACAGCUCUCUCCACUUCCACAGCAUAGAAGUGCAAGACUUCACUUUAAUGCCAACAGUUGGAUUUGGAGCUCCUAUAUCUGCUUCUGCCUUGAGUCAUCUCAAAGCAAUGCACUGCACCACAAAAUGAAUUCUGGCACAAAAGGCUCUUGAAUCACUAUGGACGAACAGCAGAACAGAACAGAUACUGCCAACCACUGCAGAAUGUCAGCUGAAAGACACCUACAACUUCUGAGAUCAUUUGAGAUAUGACAUUCACUUACCUGUCAGACAGUCACUGCCUUGACACAUAAUUGGAUACCACAGUAAUGCCAACUGUCGUGAAACCAUCGCAAGACUCAGGAUUUCAAAGUCCAAAUAACUCUGACUUGCAAUCUCCUGAUCGAACCCUCCAAUCUCCAGAUUUUCCCAGCUGCAGCGCCAAUAGGAGAAUGUCAGUUGCUGCAUCUGCACAGCCUGAUGUUUAAUGACACACACCUCCAGGAAGGGAGAUGAGGCUUCAAGUUCUUUCUUCGGUUCAAGACUGUGCCCUUUCAUAGGGAAAGUCAGGAAAAAAGGAAAUCAUAAAAAAUGAAGGAGAAGAGAGAACAUGUGCAUAUAAUCCUGAGAUGGAGAAAGAAGUAUCAAGAUAUUGAUGUUGCCAUCAUUCACGAGUUCCAUACUGCAAUCAACGUAGUCACAUUUAAUAACCAAGCAAAAAUUAAAGACCACAUUUUCUCCAGUUUGCAAAGCCUUUUUAUAAACUAUUCACCCAACAGCUGUUAACUUUCACAACUCACUGAGCCAAUCUUCUACAUGUAGAUAUGAAACAAAA